rnacentral:rRNA from 1 species
UACAGAGGGUGCAAGCGUUAAUCGGAAUUACUGGGCGUAAAGGGCGCGUAGGCGGUUUACUAAGUUGUGUGUGAAAGCUCUGGGCUUAACCUGGGAACUGCACACAAUACUGAUAAGCUAGAGUAGAGUAGAGGAAAGUGGAAUUUCCGGUGUAGCGGUGAAAUGCGUAGAUAUCGGAAGGAACACCAGUGGCGAAGGCGGCUUUCUGGACUCAUACUGACGCUGAGGCGCGAAAGCGUGGGGAGCAAACAGG